rnacentral:rRNA from 1 species
GACGAACGCUGGCGGCGUGCCUAAUACAUGCAAGUCGAACGCUUUUUCUUUCACCGGAGCUUGCUCCACCGAAAGAAAAAGAGUGGCGAACGGGUGAGUAACACGUGGGUAACCUGCCCAUCAGAAGGGGAUAACACUUGGAAACAGGUGCUAAUACCGUAUAACACUAUUUUCCGCAUGGAAGAAAGUUGAAAGGCGCUUUUGCGUCACUGAUGGAUGGACCCGCGGUGCAUUAGCUAGUUGGUGAGGUAACGGCUCACCAAGGCAAAGAGGCAUGGCCGACCUGAGAGGGUGAUCGGACACACUGGGACUGAGACACGGCCCAGACUCCUACGGGAGGCAGCAGUAGGGAAUCUUCGGCAAUGGACGAAAGUCUGACCGAGCAACGCCGCGUGAGUGAAGAAGGUUUUCGGAUCGUAAAACUCUGUUGUUAGAGAAGAACAAGGAUGAGAGUAGAACGUUCAUCCCUUGACGGUAUCUAACCAGAAAGCCACGGCCAACUACGUGCCAGCCGCCGCGGUAA